ensembl:lncRNA
GUGAGGUGAGGCCACAGCGUGGCUCUUUGCUUGCUGCAGUCACAGCGUCUGCUGUGCCAUGCGCAGCGCUGUAUUCUGAUCUCUCUUACGUCUAGACGGAUAUUCAUAAUGAAAUAGAUGUCUGGAUAAUGAAGUAGACUUUCACAGUCCUAAUGGGAUUGAAGCCUGCAAAGGAUGGAAAAAGAGCAACUUGCACUACACCCUCCAAGGCCCCUGGAUUUCACAGUAGGUUUUUUGGAAUACUAGAUCGGAUUGGAAGAUACUUACGUGAUUGCCAACAGAGCCCUAGCUCUGUGGCUAAACCAGAAGGACUUCUCUAGACUAGGAGAAGAAGGUAUGGAUGUAUCGUUGGGCUCAGAGAGAGAUCCUUGACAAAGACGACUACAGACAUGUAAUUACGCCAAACUUUGGCCAAAAUCAGGUUGUACAAUAUAUUUGUCAAUGAGUAGAGCCAAGUGAACCUCCAUAGGAACUGUAGCAUGCCCAAAUGCUGCAUGGAUCCCACGGUUCUCUGUGGUAUGCUUUGGCAGUGGUAAGUACAAGCAAGGUUUUUCCGUUCCCCUGCCUGUGUACCACUGAAAACUCCCAUUCAAUAGCUCUACAUGUUUCUCAUAGUGCUAUUUGUAUUACUGUUUUUCACUUUUCUGCAACCACAAUGAAAAGCGUUCUCAUAAUUUACUGUAUAAAAUCCAUUUAUGGUGGCAAAAAGUCUGCUUGGGUUCCACAGUUUCUGGAGAUCUCCAUUUUUAAAGUGAGCUAACUAAUGCUAAAUGCUGUCUGAUGACUAAGAUAUAAAAUGUCAUUGAUGGGACUGGAAAGUCUUCUACAGUUCUUAGAACAGUCAAGAUUUAGUUCCUCCUCUGCAAGACAUAUAUCUAGAGGCAGACAGAGAUGAGUAAUCACAUGGUAGUGCUCACGAAUGGCUAUCAAAUGGAAAUUGUUCUUCUUGUGGACUUCUUCAAGCCCACAGCUGCAUUCUUCACUGCUGUGGGACAUCUGAAGUCAAGUCUCGAAUUUGCUGUGGCUGACUUGCAAUCAGACUUACUGACUAGGGUAGGCUGACUUUCAGAAAGUGUAAAAGACAGAACAGCAACUGUGGAAAUAAAAAGAAUGUUUUUUCAUUGCUGGCAGCUUCUUUGCUCUGACCUUUUGACAUCAUUCCAAGGUCAGUUAAAUGCUUCAGAGGAACUGGAGUGAUUAUAAAUCAACUUCGUCAUCAUCCAUAAGGUGGAUGGAGAACAUUUCAUAAAAGUGAAAAAAGGUUUCCAGGGAGAUCUUCUUGAGGUGUGAAUAGUGCCCACUGUGUGCAAUACCCCUGACAGGAGACAGUGCAGAUGCAGCACCUACCUUUUUGCUCCAGAAAGCACUCAAAAGAAGACACGAUUGCCCUUUGGCACCUUCGGAGGCUGUUCCAGGAUGCAUCAUCCCCUAGUUCUAAGCUUCCGUGUCUCUAGAAAACUGGAUGACUCUAGAGAGGAAUUCCAAACUCUUCCCAACUCCUCCAAUUUUGAAAGGCCGUUUUCCAAGACAAAACUUUGUUGAAAAGCGAUGUGUUUAAGAUAGGGGUGUAACUUCUAAUAAUAUGAAACUACAGAAGAAAAAAAAGUGCUUGAAUAUGGAUUUGACCAUGGGACAUUGGAAAUGCAAAAGAAUUUUAGACUUUUUAAUGCAAAUAAGCAAGUUGCAUCAUUCCAAGUUCAUUCAGAGGCAUAUGUUGAAACAACACAAAGCAAUGUAAAUAAGCAGUCCAAAUCACUUGUCAGACGGCUUUACAACAAUGGAUGACUUUCCUUAGUGCCUUAGUGCUGCUCUAUCUGCAAGGAAUCUUCCUGGAGCACCUCUUGAGAGCUGCCACAAUAUCAAGUUAAUUCAUGUUGAUGGCCACUGCCUAUUAGUCACUACUUUGAGAAGGAACAACAGCGACAGGAUACUUGAAAAGAAAUACUGCAGCUGAUGCUUUGCAUUAUGAAAAAUGCCGACAUCUGAUCCAUUUUGAUAUCCUUGAAUAUCUGAUCUUUGGAAAAAUUACAUGUGGAGUUCAGGACAUUGGGCAUUUGCUCCCUGAGUGAUGGAGUCCAGAACCUGUUUAAGGGUCCCAGCAGCCCACCUCUAUUUCAUAGUAGACAACCCCUUGAGUGACAAAAACCUUUUAAAGGGGAAAAAUAACAUGAACAACUCCUUCUAACAUGGUUGGAAUUGAGACCACCUAAGUUUUUGCUCUAAGCUGUUCCUGUACAAUCUGUUUCCCAGGUAAUCUUCAUGUUUAUUUAAGAGAAAGAGAUCAUCCCGCUCUUUCACAGAAGCUCUCUCUUAGCCUUUUGAGGAUGCUCCAGGCUAAUGUAUGGAGCCUAGAGGGUGUAAUUCAUAGUUUGAAACCUAUUACACUCAUGCCUUAUCUUCUAGUGAUUGCUCUGAGCAUCAAGAAUUGUAAGAAAGGAAGGAAGGGCCCCCCAUCUCCUUCUCAGCUUGUGCUGCUCAGCUCCACACAGAAGAGCGUAUUUCUGCAGAAAGGCAGAAGCAGAGCUGUGAGUCACAAAUGAGUCAAAAGGACAAAAGCUUAGUUGGCAAAGACUGGCAUUUUUAUUAUAUAAAAUCAGACUUUUGAGAACUGUCUUUUUAAGCUUAGCAUCCUCCACAAUUCUUAAGUGGGAUUAAGAUGUCCAAAACAAGAUCUCUUCUUCUUUUAAUUACUAUCUACUGACAUUAUUACAGAGUUUACUAUUUGUGUAUGAGUUAAGCACAAGGUGAGGAAUUAUCCUAAGCAACAAUUUUUCCUUGCUUACCAAAGCUUGCAAUGGAGAGCAGAUUGCCUAUCCCUGUAAUGGAUGUACAUGUGUAAGAGAUUUUUAAAUGGCAAAUAACUAGCAGAGCCUUUAUUAUUAAUAUCAAAACAUUAUUUUUUCUUGUACUCUUUUUUCCAGAUGAGUUUUCUGUUUGAAUUCAUUGAAACUUUUUCAUGUAGUUUAUUAGAACCAGUAUAUUGUAUUAAUUUCCCUAAAAAUUCUUCACUUACAAAGCAGCUGAAUAAAUUUUAUAGUGGAAUAAGUUGUGAAGAUGAAUUACUGCCCAUGCAUGUGAACACCACUGAUCAGGAGGUGACACUUUACUGUAGUAGCUCAAUAGAGAG